rnacentral:tmRNA from 1 species
GGGGGCGAUACGGUUUCGACGGGUGGAAUGAAGCGUGGGAGUGCGUGCCGGGGCGUCGCGACCCCGUAUCAACGCGGCAAUCGAGUAGCUGCGAACAACAGCAACUACGCUCUGGCGGCCUAGUCCGACCGGACGUCAUUCAGGGGCGGCCCCGCCUGCGGCUCCCUGACUGGCGCAAUCAAAGCAGGCUGGUUCCCCGGGAUGUCCGGGACCCGGGGGACGAGAUCGACCGGAAUGGCGCGCGGGGAUCCCGUCGGUCGGAGCCCCGCGCGUGACGAAAACGGCCGACUACGCACGUAGCGCUCCCCGUGGAAUCCACUCGGACCCGGGUUCGACUCCCGGCGCCUCCACUG